CCCCGUCUUUCGCUAGACUGGAGGCCUCCGGAGAUAUCGAAGCGACCUCGCUUGCGAAAUCUAGGGUUUCGUUUGCUGGCGGCGGCGAUCUCACAGUCCCUAGACCAGGCAGCGACGGGACAACGACGGCGAGAAGAAGGAGCGGCCCUGUUGUCCUUUGGCUUCGUCGGCGGAGUCGUUUUCCAGAUCGGUAUUUUGACAGAAAGUUUGAGACGGCUCCGAUCGGCGGUGGUUUAGGCUGUUGCGGUUGAGAGUGCAGACCGGAAGGAGCAAAGUGUUCCUUCUCUGCAGCGGGGGUUGCGUCAGGGCUUUGUGCUUUUGAGCGGCGUUUUGACUGUGAUCCAGGGUUUGUUCUUUAGCGGUGAGGAGGCGGCGGCCUGUGUGUUUGGUUGAUCCAGGUCGAGGUACGAGUCGGGGUCUAGGCUUGACUAUGGCCAGGGUGGAGGUCCACGUCCGGCCACC
rnacentral:lncRNA from 1 species